GCUAGGAUUUUACCCCUACUGGGCCAUCCACGCUUUUAGAACCACAGAUUCUCAGGGAAUGCAGCAUUAACCUACAUACAGCUAGAAAAUUGACAGUAGCAUAUCUCAACCCAAUUACCUUGAAUCACAACUCUGGUAAAAGUUUUAGCAAUGGAAGAGUUAAAAUGAUUCACUAGAUGGAAGUUUUUGAUAAUUUGUUGACUUUAGCCAUGGAUAAUUAAGAGUGAUGGAAUCCUCGUUUCACUAUCAAGGAAGCUGCAGUCAAGGUCAAACAGAUGAGCGCCCUGGAAUUCCAUGGAAGACAGCACAAAACCAAUAAAACCACUGGUGUUCAGUUA
ensembl:lncRNA novel transcript